rnacentral:tRNA from 1 species
GCCCAGAUGGUGAAAUUGGUAGACACGCAGUGUUCAGAACGCUGUAGGAGCAAUCCUGUGGGGGUUCAAAUCCCCCUCUGGGCA